AAGUCUGGCUAGAGUUUCUCAAGGGUGUGCCCAUGGGGAUUAGUGGAAAGAGCUCUGUGCUUGGGUUGGGUGGUUUGCCCACUCCACCUUUUAUUCUCCUUGGGUGGUUCAUAGGAAGAGGCCAAGAGAGAGAGAAGGAUGCUGUAUUUAUGGGAAAAGGCUACCAGAAUUUCCAUCCGAGGUUGGUGGUCCAUUCCUCUACCUAUGUGGAAGGCAGGUUCUCCUUGACAAUAGCCAGGUCUGCAUGUGUCUUCCACUCAAUCUACAACGUAUCCACGGAGAGUGACCUUGUACUCAGUACUCAGUACUCCAGCCCCUUGGCUGGAGUUAGCUCUGCCCGCUCCACCCCUGUGCCUUUUCUGGCCCACUUGAAAUUUGAUGUCUUGGGUUGUAGCCUAUUUUUAAGGUUGAGUCUCACUCUUAGACUAUGAGCUCUUGAAAAAUAAUAACUGUGUCUUAUUUGUCUUUGCUCUUCCACUUACAUAUAGGAACUACUAAUGACAUUUAGCAAAUGUCUCUUUAUCUUUUGAUGGAGCAGAGAGAGGUCUGAGGAUGAACUGCUUUCAUCUUCUCGCUGUGUGAUCUUGCACGGGUCCUUUCCUAUCCCUCCUCUGCCACUCUUCUAGGACCGAAGGGGUUCGAGGGUGACCUUUCUGGCCACUUGCAAUUGCUAAGAGUGUAUUGAUUUGAGAAUUAAAGGAACGUGGCUCUUGAAAUGUGUGUGCGGUAGAGGCCAUCCAAAAUAGCUAAUGAAGAAACAUCCUGGGGAUUACGCCAAGUUCACAACGCAUUUUAAUGAGCCGUGAGUGUGUGUGAAUGCGUGUGUCGACCACAUGCACAUUGAUGGCUGUGGCAGGGAGGACGCUGUUUCUGAGAGUAGAGUCCUCACUUCUGAGAAACUUACAGAAGGUGGAACAGAUCACGCCGUAUUUCAUAGCAGCCUAAUUCUGACAUGCAUCUGCAAGCCUCAUAAGUCGUGGUUUGGUCGGUGCUGCCCAUCAAAUCAACUUCCUGAACUUGUUUUCAUCUGAACUCCAAGGCAGCCCAGGCGCGGGGGGAGCGCAAUCGCUCGUGUCUGACUGGCUGCCUCUGAAGUCGUCCGUUACCAGUAGUCUGUUUAGAAGGUGGAUUGUUAAUUGUUUGAUUUUUCUGCCAACAGGAUUCCCUGCAAAUUAGAAUUGUAAUCGCUGUGGGUAUUUCCUGAAUUAAAAGAAAAUAUAUAAUAAAAUAAAUAAAUAUUAGUUGUUUGGUUGUA
rnacentral:lncRNA from 10 species